AAUGUGUCAAAGCAGAUUCAGCUUCUUGGUGUUUAAGUUAAGUUCAUAAUUUCUGCUUGUUCCUUCUGUCUCCUGCAACCAACCAUUACGCUGUAUUUGAGUCUCCAUUGAGUUGUCGACAUUUCAUGAAAUAUCCAUCAAUUUGGACAUUAUUGGAUCAUACAUACGCCUGCCUGGCAUCCAGACUAACCAACAGAGAUGGAGAUUUCCACCACAUGGCACUGGAUUGACACUCCAAAACAGUCCUGUGGUUGGCAACAUCCUUUAAGUCCCAACAAUUUUUUUAGACAUAGCCUAGGUUUUAUAGAGCAGUAGUGUAUUUUUACACAGGUCCUUUACUUGUCUGUUGCUAGGAUAUUGUUCAUUUUGACAUGAUGUUUCCAUCCAUACUAAAUAUAUAUACAGUGUGCGGUGUGUGAAUGGAUUAUACAAGUUUGACUUUGAGAUUUAACACAAUAAUACUUAAGCACCUAUAUCUACUGAUCAUCAGGCUGCAUCCAUGAAUGCUAUUCCUUCAUUGUUAUGUUGCAUGUCAGUGUUCGCAAACCAUGUGACAGCUCUGUGACCUGUUUUAAUAUAUAUGUAGCCGACAUAUUGAUGUCAUUUGUAACUUUGGAUCAUUCCAUCUGUGUGACCUAGUCGGAGUGAAAGCUCCAACGUUUGGUCAGAAUGACAAUCAUCUCACUUAUCAGCUGCCCGUUGAUGGUUGUCCAGACAUGACGCUCCUAUUUCCUCCUGACCCAGUUUCAGAGUUUGCUUUGGAUGCAGCUUGUGGUUUACUGUGUCAACCCACUGCAUGUGGAUGCCAUAAAUGUGUGAUUUAUGAUGGACCCAUGUAGACUGCAGCUCCGGCUCAGCUUUGUGUUAAACUUGCACAAGUCCUAAAUAAGUACCUGAUUUUACUGUGUGGUCUGUAAAAAGCAGGAUAGAGCUGCUGCGUAUUGUAUGUGUACCUCUACGUCUCUAGGCCAAACCUCGAUGAUGAUAUUUUUUAACAGAGCUCAGUCUGUAACUCAGGAAACUUGGAGCUGUUAAAAGAUAUGGUUUUAAUCUGUUUUCUAAAUGUUUCAGAGUGAUCGUCAUAAGCUGUAAUAGAGCACCUACACGCGAAAUGUGUUGUUUGCUUUCUGUGAGACACAGUCUUGUCUGUUGUGUAUCAGGGCCGCGGUUCAGACGUUGGCUGGAAGUGCGAGUCGGACCCGCAGCCAGGAGAGAAGGUCCUGCAGGAUAGAAAGGAGAGGAGAGGGCUGGAGAGGCAGCUCCAAGAGAUCCAACAGCAGCUGGAGAUCCUGGGCCAGAGCCCAGAGAUGACUAACGAGUCUUCAGACCUCACGAAGGAGGAGUUACUCAGACUGCUGGAGGAAUGUGAGCUGACUGAGUGUUGGAGCCCACAGCUGGAGACGACUGACAUGACAUGAUGAUCUGAAGCCUUUUUAUCAGAUAGUCCGUCUAAAAUAUGACGUCCUUGCUGGGACGUCAGGAGACACAUGUAACAGCUUUAAGAUUUAUGGAGAUAUAACUAACAUGUCUUAUAGCCAUUUACAUAAAAUGACAAAGAACAAACAUGAUUCACGAUGUGUCAGUGUUAGUAAAAUGAAAGUUCGAACUUUUGGUUAAAUGACAAAUUAGGCUUGAGAAAACAUAUUUUUAUCCUAAUUGGCGUUUUCAUCAUAUUGUUAUAAUUACUAGUUUUCAGGAACCAAGAUUUUGCAGAUCUCAGGUGAAUAAAAAAAACAGGAGGUUCUGUUGAGUUUUCAAAAAAUUGCAAAAAACUUCCAAGGCCUGGCAGAAAAACAGACGGUGGUGUGAGCACAGGAGAGAUGAGGUGAGCAGCAAUCUAAAUCUAAAAGUCACCAAAAUAUUAAUAGCAAGGGUCGAAAACACAGAGUCCAGAGCUUGAUUACCUUGUGGGAAAACAGAAGAUGACACCACAGAGUUUUAUGGAACAGGAAUUGGGUGAAGUAGCGAGCCAGAUUGAUAUCAGCUGUAGGGGAGAGCGGGGUAAUGUGGGAUAUUUUUUUUUUACACAGCAUUUGUCCCACUUUACCCCACAGCCACCGUUUUAGAAAAAACAACAUCUCUUAGCAUUUCAGGCUAAUCUUCAGCUAGCAUCGAUCACAGUUUUGUAUGUUGGAAGUUCACCAACAUGUAUGAUGUAAGUUUUUCUACCUGAUUCAAUUUGUUUUGACACAACAGUUGAUUAAGUUCAAAGCAAGACAAUUUACUUUUACAUGCAAAAAACUAAUUUUUGUGAAAAAAUAUACUUUCCACAGCACCAGCACUAACUUCUCCUUCAUGGCAAGGGGGGAAUGGGAGGGGCUUGAAAACAUAAUGGUCAAAUGACCACAAAUGUGUUCCGUUGCCUAGAUACAGGGGUGUCUCACAUUACCCAAUGUCCCACAUUACCCCGCUCUACCCUACUUGAUAAUGAGGAGGGAUAACUCGGGUAGGAGGAGGGUGACCUAGCCACGCCCUGGAAAACAAACUCAGGAGAUACAGAGAUUUGCUUUUUUCAAGAAAUUGUACUUUCUUGAUCCUUGUUGUUCUGGGUCUUUAACCUCGUGGUUCAAUGCACUUUGUAAGUUGCUUCGGAUAAAAGCGUCCGCUAAAUGUAAUGUAAUGUAAUGUAAUGUAAUACAGGGAAGGAGUAAAGAAAAACACAACAGCCAGGAGAGGAUGGAGAGUCAUGCUGCCAGAUCCUAACAUAUACAGCUGCAUUGCCUUCUGUUGUUAUAUUGCAUGUUGACAUAUUGGCCUAUGUGUGUGGACAAAGUUACUCAACAACAUACGGAUAGAUUUUGAACAGAUUGGUGGAAACAGUACUUGGGUGGGUAAAAUAUUGAAUGGUGAAAGUUCAAGGUCAACAAAAAUAUGAUCUGAAAAACAAUUAUUAGGGAAACCCAAGAAGAAGUCAAAUGGCAUUUGUUCAAAAAAGCAUAUUUGGAAGUAUCUCUGCAUCCUGUAUGAGCCGAGGCUUAUAUUGCUCAGAAAUGUAUUCCCCAUCAUGCGUCAUAUGAUAAGUGACAUCAUGAACAAAUCACAAAGAAGUCCAAUGUAGUUCAAAAGUAAAUUUUCUCAAAUAUCUGCAUCCUACUGAGCUAUUGACACGACCCAAAGAAAAAUAUAGAUAUACAAUUAUUUUUGAUGACAUGGUAGGAAUGACAUCACCAUGACAUCCCUAUGAAGUCAGAAAAUGAUAUCAUAUAGCGUAGAAAUUAUUUAACCUUUGCAACAAAUAAGAUAUGGUAGAGAAUCUUAUUUAUUAUAACAUUCAUCAUCUCAUGGUCGUAAUGAAAUCAAAAUGACAUCAUGAUGAAAUGCUAUUAUUACAAAAGAUUAAAUAGUUUCACCUGAUCGGGUUGUAUACAGUGCGAAUGCAUGAUUUGUAUUUGCUUUUAUUUCUCGAGGACAAAGAGCAGCUGGGCCACACUUUGUAAAAUAAAAGUAUCAUAGAGGAGAACAGCAAAUUACUGUCAUUAAACCUAACAUCUCACCACAGAAUGUUCUCCUGCAAACAGAAAUAUUAGCCUAAAACAGUGUCUGUGGGGUCAAGUCUAGGCAUGAAAUAUAGUACUGCGUGUUGGUAACGUGUGUUCAGACAUCCAGCGAGGCUGUUAAUCAGGAUGUAUGCUCCACAUGAGUGAUACUCACAUCCACUUUAGCUCCUGCUGUUCCUGCCAUUCCCACCUCUAUAGGUGAUCUGCUUAACUGUGGGCCAGAUUAGUAGGAUCUUCCGCUGACAAACGAUUUCUAUAGCUCUAAAAAUCAUCCCCUUUAGUUUGUUUUGGAGAUUUGCUGAAGCUGCCCAGACAGUUCCUAUUUGUUCCUGCUUGCGCGGCGCAAGCCGCUGGUCUGCACCUGGCUGACCUCAGCCCAGAUGUCACGCCUCUCCUCUCUCCUGGCACUCCGGACACCUACGGGCCCAUUCGUCUCACUCUUCACCUCAGCCACACAUUCUGACCCCAUCUAACAGACAGGAAUUAGCUCACAUUCCUCCGGAUUGAAAACACGUCAGCCAGGUGAGCCCUCCAAGGUCAAACCUAGAUGAGAGGCCUGCUAUCGCUAUCUGUCCAGGAAUCUAAACAGACGCCCCUGCACACGUCUGACCGAGCGGUCACUUUUCAGAAUGACCACACCCGGUCAGACUUGAGUUUUAUACAAAUUCCGUAUGUUUGUAACGCCUUCAUUCACACAUUAGUCCCCAUUUUACAAACACCAUCCAUGUCAUCGAUGUGAUAUAUUUUAAGGAGGACAGAUAUUCUGCUCAUUAUGGGUAAUGGAAACACAGUGAGCUCAGAAUGGUAAGAAUGAGGUCACUUCUAAUGUAAAGAGACUGGCGGCAUACUGAGACUGUUUGGGUUUUCGGUCAUGACCCUCACUGGUGCCUUAGAUUACAGCCUUUUCUGGCCCUGGGGAAGAUCUAAAUUAGCAUCACAGUCAGUGAACUGCUGAUACCUCAUCUGUGGUGUUUUGACAAGUUUUAUUCCACAAUGCACAUUCUCACUGGCAUGAGUUGGGACCACAGCCACGAAUGGAAAUUCUGCCCCACAAGAAGCAUGCAAAACUCCUCAUGUGUUCGUUUCCCAUGGAUUGUGUCUUUUGAAGGUGUAAGGAGAUGCCAUGUGUCGUGUGUAAUCACAUAUCUUUAUGGAUGUGCCGUUUAAGUGGGUUAUACUUCAUGUUGAGUUUUCCUGCUGCUGACUACCGAGGAUACUCCCUCUAUCCAAGGCUUCAGCAGACUCAGCUAAUGGGAUCUAGUCACUCGACAAAGUGUGGCUUGGCCCCCAUUGCUUUUCAACGUACGAAAACUUCAGUCAAAGUGGAUAUGACUAACUCUCAGACUUUUUUUUGCCCCUCAAAAAGUCACAGAUUGUCCAAGAAACUUAGUAAGUGUUUAUUGUUCACUUGACAUUAGAAAAUAACAGGUAGGAAUAUAAACAGCACUUAGGGUAGAAACUAUGAACAUAAACAACGUUUAUAGAAAAGCUUCACUAAUAAUUAAAAAAAGACGUACAAAAAAAACGAAAUAACAAAGACAUCCUCAUGUCAGUGUGCAAAUAAGUUUAUACAGACAGAAACGCUUCCAUAUGAGGCUACGCUUCUAGAUAAAUUAUUUAAAUAGCAUAUAUCUACACAAAUGAAAUAACCUCAACAUAAAACAAACACAAUAAUUUAUCCCCAAAAAAAUGCACAGGAAAUACGUACAGCACAUCAUUUGUUUUAAUCCUUUACGUUCCUGUUUGGGCUUCUCUUGCUACAAAAAUAUCUUAUAUACAGCAUAUGAAUGAUACUAAAGUCUUGCUUAAAAAACAAAGAAGCCAACCAAUUUAUACUCUGCUGCUUAGAAAUGUGAUUCUUGUGUAUUGCUGGCCUCAAUACAGAAAGAAUUAAUGAGGUAAUAUUUGUACAUAAAGGGUUUCAUUUGAUUUUCCCUCGUCAGAAAUGUACACACAAGCUCAGGCACACCAGUCAUGCACACUGUGCAGAAGCAACAAAUGGCGAUAUUGAUAUAUCUAACUGUUUUGGUCACAUGUAAUGCUUUAUCUUACAUGUGAAUAGGGAUUUCAUUUACUUGGUUGCUAAUAACAUUCUAAGAUGGCAAGGUGCAAAGAUGAACGAGAAUUAAAGCCUCUAUGAUGAAUACGUAAAUACAAACAUC